rnacentral:misc_RNA from 1 species
GAUGAAGAACGCAGCGAAAUGCGAUAAGUAAUGUGAAUUGCAGAAUUCAGUGAAUCAUCGAAUCUUUGAACGCACAUUGCGCCCGCCAGUAUUCUGGCGGGCAUGCCUGUUCGAGUGUCAUUUCAACCAUCAAGCCCUGCUUGCGUUGGGGUCCUGCGGCUGCCCGCAGGCCCUGAAAACCAGUGGCGGGCUCGCUAGUCACACCGAGCGCAGUAAUACAUCUCGCUUUGGGCGUGCGGCGGGUUCUUGCCGUUAAACACCCCCUUUUUACCAAGGUUGACCUCGGAUCAGGUAGGAAUACCCGCUGAACUUAAGCAUAUCAAUAAGCGGAGGA